rnacentral:rRNA from 1 species
UACGUAGGGGGCAAGCGUUGUCCGGAAUCAUUGGGCGUAAAGCGCGUGUAGGCGGCCAGGUAAGUCCGUUCUGAAAGCCCGGGGCUCAACCCCGGGAGGCGGAUGGAUACUGCUUGGCUCGAGUCCGGAAGAGGCGAGUGGAAUUCCCGGUGUAGCGGUGAAAUUCGUAGAUAUCGGGAGGAACACCAGUGGCGAAGGCGGCCACCUGGACGGAUACUGACGCUGAGACGCGAAAGCGUGGGUAGCAAACAGG